ACCAAAACAAAAGCAAAAUUGGGCUGCAAAGUUUGCCCAAAAGAGACAGAUCCUAAAAGCAAAACGGAAGAUGAAAAAACAAAAAUAGUAAUUAAAAACCCAGUCAAAUCUAACAGCUGGACGCAAUUAAAUCCCACCUUUUCAUAUUGAAUCGUCACAUCUGUUCAGAGGAUAACAGUUUCCCAAAAGAUUUUCUUCCAUCUGUUAUCAUUUCCAAAUCUCUUUUCUUUUGAAAACCCUUCAAUCCGGGUUCCUUGCCCAUUCCUCCUGCAGAGGUCCUUCACUGCAGAUCCUCUUGAUUCCGACCAGGUUCCUCUCUUCUCCCUUUGUUAAUGUUUCUUUCGCCAGUUUACGGGCUUGAUAGUUUUUUGGUUUUUGAAUAAACUAAAAAAUAAUUUCUUGAAAUCGAGAACUAUGAUUCUGAAUAUCUCUGAUAACUGCUCCAAUAAUCGACUUAUCCAUACCUGUUGCUUGACAUUUCUUUAUGACUGUCUUCAAAUCUCCCAUGAUUGUAACUGAUCGGAGACCCAUUGCUAAGCCUAACUUUACUGCCUGUAGGCAUGCAGAUGCUUCUACAAGAAACGGAGAUGAAAUGUUGGAAUGGAAGGUUAUUUUCAAGGCUCUUAUCUCUCCCCUCCAGUCUCGUACAAUAAUUCCCGACGCCGAUCUAUACCUGUUAGCAUCAAAAGCUGCAUCAAAAUGUAUUAUGUCCUGUGUUCUUGCUUCCCAAUGUCUCUGAACUUCGGCAGUCUUCAAGGUACGUUUUUCCAUUCCCACUGUUUCAAUCUCAGCUAAAUAAGUCUUUAUUCUGUGAACAAGAUCCCUUCCUGAUACAAUCUUCCUCUCAUGCACCAUUUGAUUUCGCGAUUCCAUAUCGCCCAUAAGGCACAGCAAAACACCUAACACUAUUCCUUGGUUCCUUUUUCGAAGACCCAAGUAAGCCAUGUUCUAGUAUUUUGAUCUUUGUAUGGUGUAACCCAAGACAUACUAAUGUUUUUCCAAACUUCAUUGCUUUUAGGGCACUGCAAAAAUACGUGGAGACUGUUCUCUUCCCCGGAACCACAUCGAGGACAUCUCACGUUUGUGGUUAAACGUUUGCAUCGUAGAUUGACUAGUGUAGGAAUGUAGUUCCAGGAUAUCCUCCAAAUCAAAAGUAGAAUUUUUGAUGGAAUUUGUAAUUGCCAUAAUUUUCUGUAGAAAUCUUUGAAUUCGGUCUGUAAUAAAUUAUUAGGAUCCGGAUUAGCAUCUUGUAAUAGUUUAUAAGCGCUCCGUACUGAGAAUUCUCCGGACGGUUCUCCCUUCCAAACGAGCAAAUAUUCACUGUCUGUAGUUGCAAGUGGGAUCUGUAAUAUUUUUUGCGCAAUGUCCGUUUGAAAGGUAUGAGUAACAACCUCCACUUUCCACGUCUUAUUUAUUCCAUCAAUUAGAUCUGAUACAUUUUCCAGCUCUCCAUUUUGAUGACUGUUUUGCCAUAUACUAGGUUCGAUUUCCAGAAUCCACCGGUCAGUCUAAAUAGAAAUGUUGCUUCCUUUCCCAACUCUCCAACAUAGCCCUUGAGUGAGAAGUCCCUUUGCAGCCCAGAUACUCUUCCAGGUAAGGGAAGGUAAAUUCCUCAACUCAGCACUUAGAAAAUUUGAAUUUGGAUAAUACUUUGCUUUAAGAACCCUGGCUAAAAGUGAAUUCGGAUAAUUGAAAAGACGCCACCCCUGUUUGGCAAGCAAUGCAAUAUUGAUCUGACUGAGAUUACGAAAGCAUAAACCUCCAUUCUCUUUUAAACUGCAUAAAUUUUUCCACGAGCUCCAAUGAAUUCCCCCUUUUCCAUGUCCCUUUUUCCACCAAAAUUUCGCAAUAAUUGCCUCCAUUUCGUCACAUAAGGAUUUCGAGAGUAAGAAGCAAGCCCUUGAGUAAUUCGGAAUAGCUUGCAAAACAGCUUUGAUAUAAAUCUCAUACUCCAAUUAUCAUUUCGUUGUUUUAUUCUGUCUUUCAACGCCUAAAAGGAAACCUUUUUCUUUCGUCCCACCAUGUUCGGCAAACCAAGGUAACGUUCAGGCUCAUUUGAACUUCGAACUCCAAGAAAAUUGACAAUCCGUCUUCUUUCCUCCUCAAUAGUGUUUUUGCUGAGAAAGAUGGUUGAUUUCUCAAAGUUCACACAUUGCCCCGAGCACCUUCUAUAUUCGCUUAAUAUUGACUUGAAUGUAUUAGCCCCUCUACAUGUUGCCUCCCCAGAAAAGAUACAAUUGUCUGCAAAUAGUAAGUGCGAUAUUUGUGGACCUAGUCUACUUUGACACCCUUUAAAAAUCCUUCCUCUACUGCUGUUCUCAUGAGUCUGGAAAGGCCUUCUCCACAUAUUAGGAAAAUAAACGGGCUCAAAGGGUCCCCUUGUCGAAGUCCUCUUGAUGGAUAGAAUUUCAUUCCAACAGUUCCAUUGAUCAUAACCUUGUAUGUAACAGUAGUCAAACAUUUCAAAAUAUUGUCAAUCUAAUUUUGAGUGAAUCCCAUUCGAGACAUUAACUUUUUGAUAAAAAUCCAUUCCACCUUAUCAUAAGCCUUGCUCAUAUCCAGUUUUACUUCCAAAUAACCCUUUUUCCCCACUCUUUUUUGCUUUAAAGAAUGUACUAUCUCAUAAGCAAACAAAACAUUAUCAAAAACUAAUCUUCCUAGCACAAAGGCACUUUGAGCCCUAUUAAUGCAUUUAUCAAUCACCCCUCUAAAUCUAUUCGCUAUAGCUUUUGCAAUAACUUUACAAACAACAUUGCAUAAACUAAUGGGCCUAAACUGUGACAUAUUUGUAGGAUUAUUAAUUUUUGGAAUGAGCACAAAAUGAGAUGAAUUAAUAGCACUGACCUCCAUAUAUCUGUUUAAGAGUAGAAGACAAAAGGAAACUGUAUCCUCGCCAAUAAAAUGCCAGCACUUCUGAUAAAAGAUGGCUGGGAAUCCAUCUUCACCUGGCGCCUUAGUGGGUCCAUUUCAAAAAGAGCCUCGUGAAUUUCUUCUCUUGUAUAAUGUGCGGUAAGCCUUUUAUUAUCCACGUCAUUAAUACAUCGAUUUAUACGGGAGAGUAAGUAAUCAAAAUUUCCCUGAUUCUCUGAUGAAAAUAGAUUUUGAAAGUAAGACCUAGCAAUUUCUUCCAUUUCCUAUAGAUUUUCCGUGUCCCUACCAUGCCCGGAUUGUAAACUCUUGAUCAUGUUUUUCUUUCACCAUUGAGUUGCUUGGCUAUGGAAAAAAGCUGUGUUUUUAUCCCCUUAUUUGAGCCAGUUCAGUCUUGCCCGUUGCUCCCAAUAUCUUUCAUCUUUCUCAAUCUCCAAGUUAAGUUGAACCUUCUUAUCGAUCAUCUCCGCCAUGUUGCUAUCAUCGCUCUCAGCUUCAAGCAAUUCAGAUAACUUUGCUGUUAAAUAAUUCUUUUUCCCUUUCUUGUUCUUUAAAAUUUUUCCUGCCCAAUCUUCCAGCCCCUUUUUUAAGAAAUCCAUCUUCUGUAGGAAAUUACCAGUUGAUAUCUUCUAUACAUGUUCGGCAAUGUCGACAAAGGAGUCCUUCAAAAACCACCAGUUUUCAAUUCUGAAACUUUUUUCAUUCUGCUGUCUGAUUUCCUUCUUUGUAUCAAUAAGGAGAGGACAAUGAUCAGAAAAAGAAUGCACCAAAUGCUGAGCUUUUAUAUCAGAGAAAAACGAAAUCCACUCCUUAUUUGCUACCCCUCUAUCCAAACGUUCUCGUAUAUUCGUCUGUAGUAGAUUACCUCGUUCCCAUGUAAACCAUCUACCCACGUAUCCCACAUCAUUCAGUUGGCAUAAUUCCAAAGAUUUCUGAAAUUUUCCAUCCUUCUCACAUCUCGGGGUUUACCUCCUUUCUUCUCACAACCAUACAUGAUUUCAUUAAAAUCUUCACAUACAAACCAUGGAUUAUUCUCUCCAUUAUAGAGGUUUUUCAAGAUAGCCCAUGAAUCUUCCUUAUCUUGUGCAUACGGAGUUACAUAAAAUCCUGUAAAUCGCCACAUAACCUCCCUUUCAUUAUCAUGCACUAUCACAUUAAUAUGUCUUUUAGAGAAGCUUUGAGAGUAAUAUUGACCUCAUGCCUCCAAGCCAAACAUAGCCCUCCUUUAGUUCCCUCUAGAUCCACCUCUAUGCCAUUCACAAAACCACAUCUUUGCCUAACUUUUUCCAUUUGAAUUCUGCCAAGUUUCAUCUCCAUAAAGAAGGCAAUCUGGGGGUCGUAAGUCUUCAGCGAAUGCUGAAGUCUUCUAAAUAUCCAUGGACUCCCCAAUCCACGGACAUUCCAACUUAGGAUUUUCAUAAUUCCCAGUCGGCUUGCCUCUUGGCAUUCGCCGAUAUCAAGUGGUUAAGGUCCCUCAAUCUCUUACUUCUUUUUGGGGAGGUAAUCCCCUCAUUUUGUAAUAAAUCGUCAUUCUCCAUUCUGGAUCUUUUUUUACCUUCUUCUCCUGCUAAAGCCACUUCCUCAAAAUCAUGUCCCAUCGCAUAAUGGCCACGGUCCAUCAAUGAGUUAACUUGCUUUUCAUCUUCACACAAGGAGCCACCUUCCACAUUAAAGCCCAUAAUUGGAUCAACUGCCUUACCAUAACUCUUAUUGCGCUCCAUUGUCUAUAGUCCCCUUACAAAACCCCUAUUUCCUUCUUGAAUUCCACCUGUAGUCCCCUCCCCAUCUUCUUGUAGCCGGACGCUAUUCAUAGACAGAGCUCUUCGGGACUGUGCUCUUAUUGAUAAGUCCCACCCAUUUCUGCGAGUUCCACUCCAAUCAACAUUUUUGCCUCACAAAAAGAAUCAUUGUGACCCAAUUUUCCACAAUAGAAACAAAAAAGUGUCAAUCUUUCAUAUGUAAACCAGACAUAUGACUUUCUCCCCCGGUAUUCGAGUAGCUUCUUUCUUUUCGAAAGACGUCUGGUAUCAACUUGGACCCUAAUCCUCAUAAAAUUCCUAUUUUCCUUCCCUAAAUUAGACCCAUCAUAUUCCAUGAAAUUUCCCAGAAUAUUCCCCAGAUUAAUUGCUAGGUUUUCAGAAAACAAACCAAUAGGUGCUUCAUGAAUCUGAACCCAAAAAGGGGUCAAUACUAAAGGGACCUGCAUGGGUUCCUCCUCCCACCUUAAUUUAUAAAGAAACAACAGAUGAUUGUUGAAUGUCCAUAGGGAGCCUUUCAAAACGCUUUCAAGAUCCAUAUAAUGAAAAAAUUGAAAUAAAAAUCCUUUUUCCCCCUAGAUCUCGGAUACGAACUCCACGAACAGGAUGCCACAGAUUUACCAUGGUACUUUUCAUGGCUGGAAAAUGAAUUAUACUUGCUGUAAGAAAGCACCCCACCAUUUGAAGAAACUCCUUUGUUCUUUCCGUUCCAGGAUUUUCUUGGAUUUGGAUAACAUCAUCCUCCUCUUCAUUAAUUGUUAAUUGGGCUAAUUCAUUCUCCAUACUUUUUCCAGAAACAGAAGUGCAGGAAUCCAGAAAAGAAGACGGGCAAAACAAGAAGACCUAAAAAAAACAGGAAAACCUAAAAGCUUGUCAGAGGCGGCAGACACAAUCGUGCUAGGGUAGCAGACUAAAUGCAAUUCAUCCUUAAUUUGAAAUAUUCAUAAAUAAUAAAAGAAAUAAAUAUUCUAAGAUGGAACUAAAAAAAAUAAAAAUUAACUUAAAGGUGAAAUUAAAUAGUAACGAAUUAGAAGUGAAAUAUAUCAAACGAUUUUUUUUUUUGUAUAAUUCAAAAAGUGAAAAUGAUAUAUAUAUUUCAAAUUAUAAAUGGACAAGUAAAAAAUCAUUAUUAAAAAAUAUGCAAGGCGUACAUAAAUUCGUAAUAAUAGUGCAAAUGUCUUAAUCAUAGACCGCAUCACUUCGAGGUUUUUUUUUUUUAAACUGUGUUUAUCUUAAUCAAUUCUGUUCCAGUACUACUAGUUAGAAUACUCUGUUCUGAUAGUAAAUCAAAACAAUAAGUUUAAUAAAUUUUAAGUUUUAUUUUGGUGUAAAUUUAGGUUGGUAUCGAUCGUGUUAGAUGAAUCGAUUUAUUUCACCUAUACUAGUUAGAACAUGGUGUAUCACUUAAUACAAAAAAAAAAUAAUUUUAAAAUAUAGAUUUAAUUUUAAUUUUUUAUAAUUUAUUUUGAAUUUAUUAAAUUAUGGGUUUUUAUAGACAUGGUAUGAGAUUGUUUUAUUAUUUAAUUUAUGCAAUAUUUUUUUGUUGCUUAUUUUUUUUAGUUUGUUUAAUGAUGGAUUGUAUUUGUGAAGCUUAUUAAAAAAUAUUUUAUAUUUAUUUAAUCUUGUUAUUUAAUAUUUGUACAUAAUUUUUUAUCUACAUAUAUCACAUGUUUUAUAAAUCCAAAAUUAUACACCAAAGCAAAACGGAACUAAUAUGUACCAAUUUUAGUAGAAAAAUAGCAUGCCUAUCGAUAUGGUACUAUCUUGGUUUAUCUUGUAAUAUAUAAUAUUAUAUAGGGUAAAUUACUAAAAUAGUCAUUUUUGUUUGUCUGAAGUUACAUUUUAGUCAGUUAUGUUAUCGCGUUGAAACAUUUUAGUCACCGAGUCGUUAAUUGUCGUUAAUAGUAUAAUGGUAAGCUGACGUGGCAUGUUAAGUCAUCAUUCCAAAUAAAAAUUUUGGGUUAGUUUAUACAAUUGGUCCUCAUAUUUUUUCGUUUUGAGCAAUUUAAUUUUUUUCUUUUAUAUUCUUUUAACUUUCCUUUUUUUUUUCUUUUGGUUUCCAUUCUCUUCUGAUUCUCUCUCUAUUUUCCUCCCUUUUUCAUUUCCUUUAACGUAGUUUUUCUAUGUUUAAAACUAGUUCAUGUACUUUUAUAUUUUUGAACAAUUUAAUUUUUUUGAGUGAUGUGAACUUGUGGGCUAGUUUUAAUAAAUAGAAAAUAUAGAAAAACUAUAUUAAAAGAAAUGAAGAAGGGAGAAAAACAGAGGGAGAAGUAGAAGAGAAUAAAAAAUAAAGAAAAAACAUUAAAAGAGCAUAAAAUAAAAAAUUAAAUUGCUCAAAAUGAAAAAAUAUAGGGACCAAUUGUAGAAUUUAACCUAAAAUUUGUGUUUGAGAUGAUGAUUUAACAUGUCACGUCAGCUUACCGUUACACCGUUAACAUCAAUUAAUGGUUCAGUGAUUAGAAUGUUAUAACACAAUAACGUAAGUGACUAAAACAUAAACUUUUAAACAUAAGUGACAAAAAUGUAACCUGAGGCAAACAAAAGUGACUAUUUUAAUAGUUUACCCUAUUAUAUAAAUGAAUGAUAUUAUAACAUGCUGAUGAUGUGGGAGAAAAUUUAUGUAAUAAAAAUAUUUUUUCAAAGCUUGUGUAAAAAAAUUAAAAAUUUAUGAUUCAUUAUUUCUCAAGUUCAAAUCUCAUUAUGCAAUUUUUAUUGAUUUAUAAUAAUAUAGAAAGAAAAGAAAAACACUCACAAGCAAUAAAAUUUACUUUAUAAAAUGAAUGAUUUUUCAAUAAUUUCUAUCUAAAUUAAUGUUCCAACUCAGUAAAAGGCUUAAAUGUAAUGGUAAACUCUCAUUGUCCCUAAACUUUGGUCAAGAUAACGUUUCGACCACCCAACAUUUUUACUUACAUAAUAACCAUUAAUGUUAUUGAAUUGUUACUUUUUUACCACUCAUCUAUUACGUCCUAUUGAAAUGAUAAAAUGAUAACAUGACAUGUUAAGUUAAAAGGAUAAUAAUCAAUUUUAUCCCUAAAAUAUAAAUAAAAUAUUAUUUUGAUAUUUUAAAUUAUUUUCAUAAUAAUUAUUCUAAUUUUUUAAAAAACAUUAAGUAUAAAUUAAAAUUAAUUACAAAUAAUUAUUAUAAAAAUUAAAUAAAAGUUUUAUAUUAAUAUUAAAUAAAAAUAAUUAUAUUAAUAUAAACUAAACUAAAAUCCUCCCCUCCAGUCCCCACUCCGUCCCUCUCUUUCCCCCACCGUCCCCCCCACCUGCCCCUCUCCUCUCCCCCUACCUCUCUCCCUCUCCCCUUCCCCCUCCUCCCGUCCCUCUGUUAUGGUCGAAAAUGUAAUAGGUAAAAAUGGUGCGGUUUGGAGUCAAGUUAAUGAAACGGUGCGCAAUGGAGUCUUAGUUAAACAGGGCGUUUAAGAGUAACUCCUAUUGUCAGUUACUAUUUACCUUAACGAACUUUUAAUUGCGAUAAUUUAUUCUCUUUAUAUUUGGUUGUAAAAGGUUGAGUCAAACACAAGAACAAAAACAGUUUUUCUGAGUAAGAUUCUCUCUCAAUCUCUUCUGUCCUAUCUCUCUUCUCUUUGUUAUUUUUUUAUUGCCACCAUAUCAAGGGUAUCAAAGCUAACAAUCAGCGAUGGUCGGUGAUGGUGUAACCACGAGACUAUAGAAGGAUGUUGCCGUUCUUCAACAGGAGACGGCAAAAGUUCCAGAAUAAACUCUCGCAGUUGGACUCUAAGUGAUAUGCUAAAAUGGAGGCUCGAUUUCAAGGGUUCAAGGAAGAGUUUCAAAUGGAGAUGUAUUCUCUGUUUGAGAAAUAACUAGGCAACCAAACUGCUUCAAACAUGACAACCACUGCACAUGCCAAGGGAAAAGGAGUUCUGGGAGGCCCACUACCUGGGUUCCCAACCAAGGAAACUCUAGAAGUUCCUCAACCAUCUACAGGACCAACUAAUCCAUACCCGCCUAGAGUAAAGUUCCUUCAGGAAUGUGCCUACAUGUUAGAAUGCCUUCGUUUUGAUGGCACUGAUUUUCGAGGUUGGUGGUCGAAAUUGGAACAGUAUUUUGCAGUUGAGGGAGUAUCUAAAGGAGACAAGGUACGUACCAUGAUGCUUCACUUAGGUGGUCGUACCUUGGACUAGCACCACUUCUAUGCUCAAAAGCAUGGUGGCCUACACUUGUUGGACUAGGUUUGUUAUGCUCAUAGUCUAAAGGAGUAGUUUGGGGCAAGCAUUUUCAAAGACUUUAUGGCUGAGUUAGUAACCCUGAAACAACAAGGCUUAGUGAAGCAAUAUCACGAUCAGUUUGUAAGUAUUUUAGACCAGUUACAGUUGCCUGAACCUUAUGCCCUUAGCAUAUAUGUGAGUAAUUUGAAGACAAAAAUAAGUAAGCACUUACAGUUGUUUAGACCCUAAACUUUAGUCGAAGGGUUUCAUAUUGCUUAAUAGGUGGAGAGCAUCCUAGAAAUCUCUCCUAGGAAGGGAUUUUUAACUGGAACUACUUUUAUAACCAGAGCCAGUCCUCAUCAGACCACUUUUAUUUCUACUUGAGCACCUGUCUCUACACAGUUUAGCCCUUCAGUAGACCUUCUUUCAAGGGGAUCUAUGACUUCUAAGGCAUAUUCCAAGGGAGUAAGUUCAACACUAAUGGCUAAAAGGAAACAAAAGGGUAUUUGUUAUUGGUGUGGAGCCAAAUACCACAUUGGUCACAAAUGUGUUAAAAGUCAACUUUACCAGAUGUUGUUAGAUUCACCUAGUGAAGAGGACACGAGGGAAUUUCUAGAAUGCUCAGAACAGCUGGAGAACCUUCUUAGGAGAGAGGAACAAAAAUAAGGGCAUGCGUUAUCCCUGUAUGCAAUUAAAAGAUCACAUGGUCCUCACACUAUGAAGUUUCAGGCAAAAAUAAGGACAACCAAAGUCAUAGUUCUGGUAGAUUCUGAAAGCACCCUUAACUUUUUAGACAUUAAAUUGGUGACUCGGUUUUUCGUAUCUAUUACGUAUCCAUAACAGUUAAGGGUUACUGUGGCUAAUGGCAAACAGUUGUUUACCAGGGGCACAUAUAAAGAUGUGGAACGGGCGGUUCAAGGAAUUUGUUUCACUGCUGACUUCAUGAUCUUACUGUAAUACCCUAUUUUGGCCCGGGUCUAAAACGCCCAAACAACAACGGGCCUAUAGGGCCCAAACUCUAAAACAGAACAGAGGCCCAACGUUUCCAGCACAGAGGAAACCCUAGAGGUCCUUCCACGUUCGCGCCGCAGCCGCAAGCUCCAAAUCUUUGCCUAAUCUUCACCUGCACAACAAGAAAAGAAACGAGAUAGAAUAUGGCAAGAAAAAUCUUUGAAAUCAUGAAAGAUACCAGAAGAUUUUGUUUACUUUUCUUGUUUCAUUGUUUGCUAUAAAAGCAAACUCAAUAUAUUGUAAACUGGGGGGAAAUUUAAUGUAAAAAAUAAAAAAUAUAGAGAGAAAAUACGGAGAAUACAAAG
rnacentral:lncRNA from 1 species